rnacentral:rRNA from 1 species
GGGCGUUAAGUUGCAGGGUAUAGACCCGAAACCCGGUGAUCUAGCCAUGGGCAGGUUGAAGGUUGGGUAACACUAACUGGAGGACCGAACCGACUAAUGUUGAAAAAUUAGCGGAUGACCUGUGGCUGGGGGUGAAAGGCCAAUCAAACCGGGAGAUAGCUGGUUCUCCCCGAAAGCUAUUUAGGUAGCGCCUCGUGAAYUCAUCUCCGGGGGUAGAGCACUGUUUCGGCUAGGGGGCCAUCCCGGCUUACCAACCCGAUGCAAACUGCGAAUACCGGAGAAUGUUAUCACGGGAGACACACGGCGGGUGCUAACGUCCGUCGUGAAGAGGGAAACAACCCAGACCGCCAGCUAAGGUCCCAAAGUCAUGGUUAAGUGGGAAACGAUGUGGGAAGGCCCAGACAGCCAGGAUGUUGGCUUAGAAGCAGCCAUCAUUUAAAGAAAGCGUAAUAGCUCACUGGUCGAGUCGGCCUGCGCGGAAGAUGUAACGGGGCUAAACCAUGCACCGAAGCUGCGGCAGCGAACGUAUCACCCAAGACAACUUUACGGAGUUGACGAUUGACGGAGCGAAGCGACGUCAAAGCGUUCAUUAAAGUCGAGUUGGCUUAGGGAUACGUUCGUUGGGUAGGGGAGCGUUCUGUAAGCCUGYGAAGGUGGCCUGUGAGGGUUGCUGGAGGUAUCAGAAGUGCGAAUGCUGACAUAAGUAACGAUAAAGCGGGUGAAAAGCCCGCUCGCCGGAAGACCAAGGGUUCCUGUCCAACGUUAAUCGGGGCAGGGUGAGUCGACCCCUAAGGCGAGGCCGAAAGGCGUAGUCGAUGGGAAACGGGUUAAUAUUCCCGUACUUGGUGUUACUGCGAAGGGGGGACGGAGAAGGCUAUGUUGGCCGGGCGACGGUUGUCCCGGUUUAAGCGUGUAGGUGKGUGUUCCAGGUAAAUCCGGUUCACUUUAACACUGAGGCGUGAYGACGAGGCACUACGGUGCUGAAGCAACAAAUGCCCUGCUUCCAGGAAAAGCCUCUAAGCAUCAGGUAACAUCAAAUCGUACCCCAAACCGACACAGGUGGUCAGGUAGAGAAUACCAAGGCGCUUGAGAGAACUCGGGUGAAGGAACUAGGCAAAAUGGUGCCGUAACUUCGGGAGAAGGCACGCUGACACGUAGGUGAAGUGAUUUACUCAUGGAGCUGAAGUCAGUCGAAGAUACCAGCUGGCUGCAACUGUUUAUUAAAAACACAGCACUGUGCAAACACGAAAGUGGACGUAUACGGUGUGACGCCUGCCCGGUGCCGGAAGGUUAAUUGAUGGGGUCAGCGCAAGCGAAGCUCCUGAUCGAAGCCCCGGUAAACGGCGGCCGUAACUAUAACGGUCCUAAGGUAGCGAAAUUCCUUGUCGGGUAAGUUCCGACCUGCACGAAUGGCGUAAUGAUGGCCAGGCUGUCUCCACCCGAGACUCAGUGAAAUUGAACUCGCUGUGAAGAUGCAGUGUACCCGCGGCAAGACGGAAAGACCCCGUGAACCUUUACUAUAGCUUGACACUGAACAUUGAGCCUUGAUGUGUAGGAUAGGUGGGAGGCUUUGAAGUGUGGACGCCAGUCUGCAUGGAGCCGACCUUGAAAUACCACCCUUUAAUGUUUGAUGUUCUAACGUGGACCCGUWAYCCGGGUUGCGGACAGUGUCUGGUGGGUAGUUUGACUGGGGCGGUCUCCUCCUAAAGAGUAACGGAGGAGCACGAAGGUUGGCUAAUCCUGGUCGGACAUCAGGAGGUUAGUGCAAUGGCAUAAGCCAGCUUGACUGCGAGCGUGACGGCGCGAGCAGGUGCGAAAGCAGGUCAUAGUGAUCCGGUGGUUCUGAAUGGAAGGGCCAUCGCUCAACGGAUAAAAGGUACUCCGGGGAUAACAGGCUGAUACCGCCCAAGAGUUCAUAUCGACGGCGGUGUUUGGCACCUCGAUGUCGGCUCAUCACAUCCUGGGGCUGAAGUAGGUCCCAAGGGUAUGGCUGUUCGCCAUUUAAAGUGGUACGCGAGCUGGGUUUAGAACGUCGUGAGACAGUUCGGUCCCUAUCUGCCGUGGGCGCUGGAGAACUGAGGGGGGCUGCUCCUAGUACGAGAGGACCGGAGUGGACGCAUCACUGGUGUUCGGGUUGUCAUGCCAAUGGCACUGCCCGGUAGCUAAAUGCGGAAGAGAUAAGUGCUGAAAGCAUCUAAGCACGAAACUUGCCCCGAGAUGAGUUCUCCCUGAGACUUAGAGUCUCCUGAAGGAACGUUGAAGACGACGACGUUGAUAGGCCGGGUGUGUAAGCGCAGCGAUGCGUUGAGCUAACCGGUACUAAUGAACCGUGAGGCUUAACCUUACAACGCCGAAG